GUCUGGUGUGGGACUAGAGGAGGCGUUAGUCUGGUGUGGGACUAGAGGAGGUGUUACAGUCUGGUGUGGGACUAGAGGAGGCGUUAGUCUGGUGUGGGACUAGAGGAGGCGUUAGUCUGGUGUGGGACUAGAGGAGGUGUUAGUCUGGUGUGGGACUAGAGGAGGCGUUAGUCUGGUGUGGGACUAGAGGAGGCGUUAGUCUGGUGUGGGACUAGAGGAGGUGUUACAGUCUGGUGUGGGACUAGAGGAGGCGUUAGUCUGGUGUGGGACUAGAGGAGGUGUUAGUCUGGUGUGGGACUAGA